rnacentral:rRNA from 1 species
UACGAAGGGGGCGAGCGUUGUUCGGAUUUACUGGGCGUAAAGGGCGCGCAGGCGGCGCAUUUUGUCAGGCGUGAAAGCCCCGGGCUUAACCUGGACUGCGUUUGAUACGGAUGGGCUAGAGUUCGGGAGAGGAGAGUGGAAUUCCCAGUGUAGAGGUGAAAUUCGUAGAUAUUGGGAAGAACACCGGUGGCGAAAGCGGCUCUCUGGACCGAGACUGACGCUGAGGCGCGAAAGCGUGGGGAUCAAACAGG